rnacentral:tRNA from 1 species
GGUGGCUCAAUGGUAGAGCAUUUGCCUUGCAAGCAUGAAGCCCUGGGUUCCAUUCCUCAGCACCA